rnacentral:lncRNA from 1 species
CCGGCGCAUAAACGGCGUCGGGCGCCGCAGUCGCGCGCUUGCACUCUCAGCGGUGAGCGGAGUUUGUAACGUGCGUAAUAGCUCCCAAACGUCUUUUGGCCUGUUUCGUUUCGACCGUUCCGUAUACGGUGGUGGCACGUUCAGUCCCGGUUUUGUGUCCCCGUCAUCGAUUCCCGUGCUCGUGUCUCGUGUCGGACAGAGAGAGAGAUCAUAAAACGAGUGUGUGAGUAAAAUCGUACACGCGAGGAGAGUAUCGUCGCUCCCCUUUCACCGAUACGCACGUCGGUAUCUGUGUGUGUCGUCGACGGAGCGAGAGAGAAAAAAAAGAGAAAAAGCCAGGGAAUCGACGAGAGGAGCAGACGAAAACGACGCGGACGCGGGUCGCCGUGGUUUCGCGAGGCGAGGCCGGAGCCGAACCGGUGUCGACGGCUCCGUUUCGUGGUGCGUUUCGACAGACAAGUUUCCUAUUGAAUUAGCUAGUGACGUGUGCUACACGUGUAAAAUACCCAGUGUGCAGUGUUGCCCUUAAAGGGACCGCCCGCCAAGUUCGAAGGGACCGUGCGUCAGUAACGGAGCACCGACGGUUCACCGUGUAACACCUCGUUAUAUGGUGGUGGAGGUUGAUCAGCAUUGGGAGGAGGGCGGCUGCAGGGCCCAGGGCGAUGUGGCUAGCAAGUGGGAAAACUCGAGGAGGUGAUAACGACUUCUGACCUUCCGUGAGAGCGCGUACCGUGGCUUGGAGGGCCUUGCCAUCGAUCGCCAAGUAAAAGGCUCACCAUUCGGAAGAAAACGAAGCAGAAGUGUAGAAAGAAGACGAAGAAGAAGAAGAAGAAAAAGAAGAAGGAAACACAACAACGACGAAGGAGAAGCAACGGGGAAAGAGAGAGUGAGCGAGGCGAGCUCUAGGGGGGAGAGAAACAGACACACGUGUUGUUAGACGGAAAGAGAAGAGAGAACAAGGGUUGAAAAAAAAAGCGGGAGAACCUUGAAAAGUAGUCCCUUCCCCAUUGGCGAGUUCGCCGGACACACGCGCACUCGAUACAUACACUCACAUACACGCGUAUAUACACACAAGACAUUCUCUCCGCAGCGGGAUCGCUGUCUACGUUUAAAAAAAAAAGAACUUCUACCUUGAGAACAUAUACCUCGUGCGUACAAGUACCUUCAAACUUAACCUCUUUCGCAGCGCAAUAGUGCCUAGGCCCCUCUGAAGAAAAAUAAUAAUAAUAUAAUAAAAUAAUAACGUCGUUAUAAUAUAUAUUAUAUAUAUGUAUAAUAUAUAUACAGUGAGAGAAGGGAAACAAAUUUAAGAAAAGAAACGACGUGAAGAGUAUAACGUUUUAAUUAUAUACAUACAUAUAUAUUAUAUAUAUAUAGAAAUCUUCAGUCGACAACGAACGAAGUCACAUGUACACGCCCGUGGUGACCGUCGUUUGUACGGAUUGAAAGCAAGUAAGUUUCACGAAACUCGUUUGCACGGAGAGAUCGGCACUGUCAUCACGACUGACAGAGGAUCUUAUCAGGAAAUUCUGGUUGAUAACGGUACCUCCCAAUCCUCGAACCCUCUCGAGCCCUUUCAAUCGAUUCUACGAACCAGGACAGCGAAGUACCUGCAGACACAGAUAUAUUUAUAAGAAUAAUUUAUAUGGAUCAUAGAAGUGUAACUAAAUAGCGGUAACAGCUAAGGGCAAAGAGAAUAAUUAUUAAUAUCGAUAUAACAAUAAGCUGCUAAGACAGACGAACAGAGGAGACAAAUAAAGGAGGAUCGUACAAGAGGAGUGUGAACGCUUAAAUAAUUUUACACGCGCUACGGUUAGAGUACUUCUACUUUGCGGUUAAUCUACUCAGCGAUUGCGGGGCCUGUUCUACGUAUAUAUCAAGAUACCUCAAAGCAACGGGACGAUUCGAAUCAGUAUGCAUCUGGGAGCGAGUUUCGAGGCGCGCGUCAAGAUGCGGUAAAAGAAACUCGACGACAGAAGAAAUCGAGUCGUGCCCGUGCGUGAUACAGAACACAAAUACGCGUAUCAGUUAAAGCAGCCAUAAGAUUAAGAAUCACGAUAUCCUAGAAAACUAACCGGUAGAGUGAGCCAUCUAGAAAGCACAGAGGCUACGUUCCGAGUGGUAGCCUCUGACAAACAGAAACCACUGCCUGCCCUAACUGUCCAAGUCAGAAACCGUGUCCGGGACACGAACCGUCAUCGUAUACAGAAGUGACCCAACAAACGGCCAACAAGUGAUCCCACGAGAUCUCCAGGGGUACGUGGACAGUGGUGAGCAGAGGAGCCGUCACGGUGGCCAGCUUAGUGAGCGGCAACGUAGCGGUGCGUUACGAUGAGGCGUCGGGAGUGGUUGGCACGGGGGGUGUCGUGUUGGCAGCCACUUCCAGGUUAGCCGCAGCGGAUCCAGCCACGUCCAGCAUGGACACCAGCGACUCCAGCAUGGACACGACGAACGGGGGCUCGAG